rnacentral:lncRNA from 1 species
UGAAUAUGCUCAACAGGUCAUAGUACUGAAUCAUAUAAAUUAGGUGUCAAUAGGCUGAAUCAUCAACAAGAGAGCUAUCGGAAGGUGGAUUUUACGCGCCAGGCGAACCAGCAACAACUCCCUACUGUCACAUGCAUAUGCAGGAUAAGACACCAUACCGAUAAUAUAAAUGCUAGACAGCUAUCGGGAGGUGGGUUUUACGCCCCAGGCGAAACAGCAACAACUCCCCACUAUCACAUGCAUAUGCAGGAUAAGACACCAUACUGAUAAUAUAAAUGCUGGCCAGUAUCCAGAACAGAAAUCCAUCUCACAUCUAUAUACUAAACGGCACCUCGCGGGAAUUCUA